rnacentral:misc_RNA from 1 species
UGGUAUGUGGAAUGAACCAAAAAGUGUUGACGAGGAGGUGAGUGAAAUAUUUGUGCGCUUCGGCGUUAGGUUACUUGCCUUAUCGUUGAAGGAUGUAAAGUUAUACAUUUAUAUGAUGUGCCCUAGUUAGUUCUUUCGUAUACCGACAAAUUUCGUGUUUAGAUAUGGUACGAAAACAAUAAACAGAACGAUUUUCAUUCAUUCGCAGCAGGUGGAGGAAUGAACAUGGAGUAAAGAAGAAACAUUACUACAUACCAGACGAUGGAGCUGUGCUUCGUAGCAGCCCGACGUCGGGGCAGCUAUUAUUCUGUUUAUUUAAGGCCGAAGUGAUUACCGUAAUGUAGUGGAAUAAAAGAGAUGCGAGUGCAAGAAAAUUCAUUUGCAUCAUGUGCCAAAAUGACCGAGGAAAGAAGCGUGAAUGGAGGUCCAGAUAUUCCCAGUGGCAGCAAAAGAGGAUAUUCAGCCGGAGAUAUCGACGGAACCCAAAGUCCCAAUUCUUCAACCAGCGAAGCUGAUAAAUCUUGCGGUAUCGCAGGUGGUAGACUGAAAUUUUUUAAGGAUGGUAAAUUCAUAUUGGAAUUAUCACACCGAACUGAAGGAGAUCGAACGUCAUGGGUUCCAGUGCCCAAAAAAACAUACUGGCCUCCUCCUGCAACUACUGCUACUAGUACUGGUACUCCACGCCAGGAAAGCUCAACCUCACUUAGUGUGUCAGAUGACAACUCAUCUGUCCAGUCAUCACCUUGGCAGCGAGAUCACUGUUGGAAGCAGACCAACCCUCGGCAAGGCAUUGGUAAAGAAAUGACUUUUGUGAUGCAGUCAUUUCCACACAUGAGGCAUCUAAGGAGUCUUCAUUCUGUGUUUCACUGUAUACAAAAGAAGCGUAGAUGCCCUUACGUACCUAUAGAAGUGUCAGUGGAGAAUCACAGUGGUGUAAUAAGUGCACACGUAAGAGGUGGAAAGAAAGAGCGAAACAGAAUAAAAUUGUUGGAUAUAGUACAAACUUUAUUAGAUAGAGUGAAAGGCUCAAGUAGUAGUAAUGAAAGCACUGUUUGCUCUAAUGCAAGUGGGGCUAUUCCACCAAAUCACGUGCGGACAGUAACUGUAGCAACGGCAAGACUGGAUCCUAGCAUUAUAUCCCCUAGGAAGAGAAUACUUCGUGAAAUGGAGAGAGUUAGUCUUGAGGACAUGUCGAACUCUAAACGACAGCGAGCUCGUACCAGUAGUGCCUUGCCACAGAACAAUAACAAUGGUAGCAGUGGAAAUUGUACUGUUACGUGCCAAACUCUCCAACCUGGCAGUGCACUUCCGUCUCCUCCCCAGCCUAGUGUCAAAGGCAGUGUGAGUAAUUACAGUAUUACCUCGCUCCUGGGAAAUAGUCGAAAUGAAGACGUACCAACACCUGGACCUCAAGAUACAGACACAUCAUUCCUACGUACUCUCCUGAAGUCUUCAGCGCAACAGACUAGCAAUGUCGAACAGACUCCCAGACCCAAAGCGGCUUCAAAGCCUGCUGGAUCGAGGAAAUCGUCACCCACACAGCAGCAGCAGCAGUCACCUCAACAACUGCCACAAACGCAGCACUCCCAAAACCAGUCACCUACACAGCAGCAGCAGCAGCAGCAGCAGCUGUCGUCCCCAUCGCGGCUCAGCUCUCCUGCUCUCUCACCAUCACCAGAUAAUCUUCGCUCUGGACUUAGAAAUCCAGUUGUUCCGUCCAUUGGCAGCUCUGCACACCUCUCUCCAUUCCUUACACCUCCACUGAUAUAUCCACAGCUUUCAUCUCCCUUUUUACCUCAUCCUCCUCCGACAUUAAGUCAUCAUCCUUACUAUUCCAGCCCUCCACCUGUAUCUGCAUAUCGUGGAUCUCCAUCACCAGUUCCAACUUUGUGGGUACAAUACCCACUUUCUAGUCUUCCAAGGGGGGCAGUUCACUACGGACUAGUGGCUCCCUGCCAUGCACCACCUCUUAGUCCGUGCCAUUACAGCCCACUAACGCAACAACCACUGGAAGAGCUGAAGAAAGAAGAUAAUGGUUCAGAUGUUCCUCUGAAUUUGUCCAAACAUUCUGGCUGAAGACUGGCUGAUGUUGCCCACAGCUGAAAAACUGCUGUGCUGGAUAUAUGGACUCCUUAUGCAAGAUGGUUCCUACUUUCAUCCUGAAAAUCUCUACAAUAUUACUUGGAAGAACAAUACCCUCAGACAGCUCCAUAAAUGAGUCAUCAAGGGAUAUCUUCCUCUUGAAAUGCUGUUUUAUAUAGGGAAUCAUGGUCCUUAAAUGAUACUGUUUUGACAUUGCUGUUAAUAGUGUGGCAUUCUUUGUUAUAAGUCUGGUGAAGUGCUUCAUAUUUGUGAAUAAUUUUCCAACCAUGAGGGAGUGAUACCAGUUUGAGAUGUUAAUGAGAAAACUGAUUGCACACUUUUAAUGUAUGACACACACUGUUAAGAGUUUUAAAGAUCCUAUGAACUUUCAGGAUCUCACUUGUCAUUAUACACUAUCAUGGUUAACAAAAUUAAAGGACUCAAUGACAAGACAUCAAGUAUCUGGAAAGGCCUUAGUUAACAUGUUGACUGCCUCACAUAUAACGAUGGGGGUUUCACCACCAGGCCGGCCCAGGCAGUGUCAUCAGGCAUGAGGCUCUGCUGUGGCCAGCAUUGGCCUCGUGGCAGUCAGUGUGUUAUUAACAGGUCAUGAGGAGCAGACAAAGAAUGUUCACUUCAAUACUAUAAUGCUUUUGUGUGAUCCUGUACAGCCUAUGGUACGUGGUGAAUGUGGUGUGCACUUAUCAGGAUGUUGGAUCAGCAACUACGAAAGUCAC